rnacentral:rRNA from 1 species
ACGUAGGUCACAAGCGUUGUCCGGAAUUACUGGGUGUAAAGGGAGCGCAGGCGGGCGAUCAAGUUGGAAGUGAAAUCCAUGGGCUCAACCCAUGAACUGCUUUCAAAACUGGUCGUCUUGAGUAGUGCAGAGGUAGGCGGAAUUCCCGGUGUAGCGGUGGAAUGCGUAGAUAUCGGGAGGAACACCAGUGGCGAAAGCGGCCUACUGGGCACCAACUGACGCUGAGGCUCGAAAGUGUGGGUAGCAAACAG